rnacentral:rRNA from 1 species
CUACGGGUUGCUGCAGUGGGGAAUAUUGCGCAAUGGGCGAAAGCCUGACGCAGCAACGCCGCGUGAGGGAUGAAGGCCUUCGGGUUGUAAACCUCUGUCGAAUGGGAAGAAAUCUUGACGGUACCAUUAGAGGAAGCCCCGGCUAACUCCGUGCCAGCAGCCGCGGUAAUACGGAGGGGGCAAGCGGUGUUCGGAAUGAUUGGGCGUAAAGCGUAUGUAGGCGGUUAGAUAAGUCAGACGUGCAAGCCCACGGCUCAACCGUGGAAUUGCGUUUGAAACUGUUUAACUUGAGUGCAGAAGAGGAAAGCGGAAUUCCCAGUGUAGCGGUGAAAUGCAUUGAUAUUGGGAAGAACAUCGGUGGCGAAGGCGGCUUUCUGGUCUGAUACUGACGCUGAGAUACGAAAGCCAGGGGAGCGAACGGGAUUAGAUACCCUAGUAGUC